rnacentral:tRNA from 1 species
CGGAUGUAGCCAAGUGGAUCAAGGCAGUGUUAUUGU